UGUCAUGUCAUUAGGAAUAUUCUCCCUGUGUAGCCAGGCUUACUUGGCCAGGAAGCCACCGCAUGAGAAAACCCAAUCCAUGGAGGUUUCCUCAACUUUCUCCUCCACUGGAUUGUGACCAGGUAACUUGUAACUGUAACGGAUUACAACCCUGGAGAUAAUGGACAUAGAGACACCGCGGAACUGGCCACACUGAUGGAAUUAAGCCUCCGCGCUUCAAUGUCAGCAAAACCCAUCCCUGAGACAUACCCACAUCUGAAAGGUGUGCUCAGAGCCAGGGGGUGAUGUGACAUCUGGGGAGGCUGCCAGAGAGACUGGGGAGGCAUAGAGAAAUGGAUGAUGUGAGAUAACGCCACAGGGUCCCGCUUCCCCCAGCAAACACAACCAACACCGCCUCACAGAGUAUACUUAUAGAAACA